AGCGAACGCUGGCGGCAGGCCUAACACAUGCAAGUCGAACGAACCUUUCGGGGAUAGUGGCGGACUGGUGAGUAGCACGUGGGAACGUGCCUUUAGGUUGGGAAUAGCUCAGUGAAACUUGUUCUCAUACCGAAUGUGCCCUUCGUGGGGCAGAUUAUUCGCCUUUCGAGCGGCCCGCGUCUGAUUAGCUAGUUGGUUGAGUUAAUGGCUCACCAAGGCGACGAUCAGUAGCUGGUCUGCGAGGAUGAUCGGCCACAUUGGGACUGAGACACGGUCCAAACUCCUACGGGAGGCAGCAGUGGGGAAUCUUGCGCAAUGGGCGAAAGCAUGACGCAGCCAUGGCGGGUGAAUGAUGAAGGUCUUAGGAUUGUAAAAAUCUUUCACCGGGGACGAUAAUGACGGUACCCGGAGAAGAAGCCCCGGCUAACUUCGUG
rnacentral:rRNA from 1 species